CGAUUGAGUUUUAGUAGACGUUCUUACUUGGGACAAAUUUCGAUGAUCAUUACUCUUAGAAUAUAAUUAGUUAAGUGGCCCAAUACCUACCACAUUAAAGCUUUUGGGGUCUUCUUUCUAAUGCAACUAACCGUUCGCCAAUUUGAGUUUGGAGUAAAAGGUUAUGAGUGUUUUAGUAAGAUGUUGUCCAAGUGCACGAUUGGCGACGCAACCCCCACUACCUAGACAUAAAAUUUUGUUAUUCUCUUAUUAAAUUAAAGGUAAACUGGUCCUUUUACCCUGUUCAACUCCCCCAGUUAGUUUUUAAUCCCAAAAAUCACCCUAAAGUAUGAGAAUUAUUCUCAAAUCCCUAAUUUCUCUUCUCUUUCAAAAAACCCAAGCUCCCAAUAUAAAGUUUCAAGUAGGGCCAAAGAUUAUUGUUUCUUCUCAAAAUUUUCUCAUCAAAUUUGUAAUUAAAAAUAAAGAAACAAAUCCAAUCAACUAGGUCUUCAUACCAAUUUGAAGCUAGAGUUCAAGCUUUAAGGGGUUGCAUGACAGUACGCGUCAUACUAAUCAUUUUCGGGCGCUACAUCACUUCAUGAUGUAAGUUCAAAGGUACUUUUUCAUGAUUCUAUGCAGCACUAGGGCAUUUGUACACUCUCGUGGGGUAGCUGUGAUAAGCGAAAUACCAAGGGACUUUGGAAUUGAUGGAAUUAUGUAUGAUGCAACAACAAAGUACAAAGGACUAGUAGAAGCAAUCGCAACAUAACUGAUGAUAGACAUAUUGAAUUGAAAGUUCAAGCACAAGCAGGUAAAAACGAUUGUGUAUUUUUAGUGUAUUAAAUUGGAUAUUAAAGUUAUAUGUAAUUCGGGGAUCUAUUUUUUUAGUAUUAAUUUUUUUUUAAUUUAACAGCUACUAUUUGGUUUGUGUGGUGGAGGAUUGUACUUAGUUUUUUCGUUCUUCCAGAAUUAACAAAUCAAAGAUUUUUAAGAUAAGAAAGUAUUGUGAAGUAUUGUGACAUUCAUACAUUCUCAAUAAAGGAUCAAAUUUAUGCAAGGCAUCAAGGGAUGGCAAAAGUAGUAGCCGGACUGAUUUUAACAAAUCAAAGAUUCCAGAAUCACCCGGGAGUAAUGGUGUAUUUAGAUCAGAAAAGUAGUAAUGUUGAUUUUUUUUGUUAAAUAUCUAUUGUAUGUGACACCAAAAUAUAUGACAAUGGAUAUUAAUGAAAACACUGAACAAUCUGUUA